rnacentral:rRNA from 1 species
GACGAACGCUGGCGGCGUGCCUAAUACAUGCAGGUAGAACGCUGAAGAGAGGAGCUUGCUCUUCUUGGAUGAGUUGCGAACGGGUGAGUAACGCGUAGGUAACCUGCCUUGUAGCGGGGGAUAACUAUUGGAAACGAUAGCUAAUACCGCAUAACAAUGGAUGACACAUGUCAUUUAUUUGAAAGGGGCAAUUGCUCCACUACAAGAUGGACCUGCGUUGUAUUAGCUAGUAGGUGAGGUAGUGGCUCACCUAGGCGACGAUACAUAGCCGACCUGAGAGGGUGAUCGGCCACACUGGGACUGAGACACGGCCCAGACUCCUACGGGAGGCAGCAGUAGGGAAUCUUCGGCAAUGGGGGCAACCCUGACCGAGCAACGCCGCGUGAGUGAAGAAGGUUUUCGGAUCGUAAAGCUCUGUUGUAAGUCAAGAACGGGUGUGAGAGUGGAAAGUUCACACUGUGACGGUAGCUUACCAGAAAGGGACGGCUAACUACGUG